rnacentral:rRNA from 1 species
GAUGAACGCUAGCUACAGGCUUAACACAUGCAAGUCGAGGGGUAACGAGAGGAAAGCUUGCUUUCCUUGUCGACGACCGGCGCACGGGUGAGUAACGCGUAUCCAACCUGCCCCCAACUAGGGAAUAACCUUGCGAAAGUAAGACUAAUACCCCAUAAUUUCCUCAGAUUUCAUCUGACGAGGACUACAGAUGACUCGGUUGUGGAUGGGGAUGCGUCUGAUUAGCUUGUUGGCGGGGUACCGGCCCACCAAGGCAACGAUCAGUAGGGGUUCUGAGAGGAAGGGCCCCCACAUUGGAACUGAGACACGGUCCAAACUCCUACGGGAGGCAGCAGUGAGGAAUAUUGGUCAAUGGGCGGAAGCCUGAACCAGCCAAGUAGCGUGCAGGAUGACGGCCCUAUGGGUUGUAAACUGCUUUUAUACAGGAAUAAAGUUAGCCACGUGUGGUUAUUUGUAGGUACUGUAUGAAUAAGGACCGGCUAAUUCCGUGCCAGCAGCCGCCGUAA